rnacentral:rRNA from 1 species
GAUGAACGCUGGCGGCGUGCUUAACACAUGCAAGUCGAACGAAGAUGCCGGAGUGCUUGCACUUUGGCAGACUGAGUGGCGGACGGGUGAGUAACGCGUGGGUAACCUGCCUUAUACAGGGGGAUAACAGUUGGAAACGACUGCUAAUACCGCAUAAGCGCACGGUAUCGCAUGAUACAGUGUGAAAAACUCCGGUGGUAUAAGAUGGACCCGCGUCUGAUUAGCUUGUUGGUGAGGUAACGGCCCACCAAGGCGACGAUCAGUAGCCGGCCUGAGAGGGUGAACGGCCACACUGGAACUGAGACACGGUCCAGACUCCUACGGGAGGCAGCAGUGGGGAAUAUUGCACAAUGGGGGAAACCCUGAUGCAGCGACGCCGCGUGAGCGAAGAAGUAUUUCGGUAUGUAAAAGCUCUAAUCAAGCAGGGAAGAAGAAAUGAGGUACCUGACUAAAGAAGCACCGGCUAAAAUACGUG